rnacentral:rRNA from 1 species
AUUGAACGCUGGCGGCAGGCCUAACACAUGCAAGUCGAGCGGAUGAAGGGAGCUUGCUCCUGGAUUCAGCGGCGGACGGGUGAGUAAUGCCUAGGAAUCUGCCUGGUAGUGGGGGAUAACGUCCGGAAACGGGCGCUAAUACCGCAUACGUCCUGAGGGAGAAAGUGGGGGAGCUUCGGACCUUACGCUAUCAGAUGAGCCUAGGUCGGAUUAGCUAGUUGGUGGGGUAAAGGCCUACCAAGGCGACGAUCCGUAACUGGUCUGAGAGGAUGAUCAGUCACACUGGAACUGAGACACGGUCCAGACUCCUACGGGAGGCAGCAGUGGGGAAUAUUGGACAAUGGGCGAAAGCCUGAUCCAGCCAUGCCGCGUGUGUGAAGAAGGUCUUCGGAUUGUAAAGCACUUUAAGUUGGGAGGAAGGGCAGUAAGUUAAUACCUUGCUGUUUUGACGUUACCAACAGAAUAAGCACCGGCUAACUUCGUG